GUAACAAGGUUUCCGUAGGUGMACCUGCGGAAGGAUCAUUAUUGUAUAACCGAGGUGCGAGGGCUGUCGCUGACCCGAAAGGUCGUGCACGCCCGAGUGCCCUCACACACAUCCAUCUCACCCCUAUGUGCACCACCGCGUGGGUCCCCCUUUGGCUUGUUCGGAGGGGGGCUUACGUUUUCACACAAACUUUGUAUGCAGUGUAGAAUGUAUUUUUUGUUUUUGCGAUCACGCAAUCAAUACAACUUUCAACAACGGAUCUCUUGGCUCUCGCAUCGAUGAAGAACGCAGCGAAAUGCGAUACGUAAUGUGAAUUGCAGAAUUCAGUGAAUCAUCGAAUCUUUGAACGCACCUUGCGCCCCUUGGCAUUCCGAGGGGCACACCCGUUUGAGUGUCGUGAAAUUCUCAAAAACCUUUUUCUUUUUGGGAAAGGGUUUUUGGACUUGGAGGCUUUUUGCUGGCUUCACCUUGAAGUGAGCUCCUCCUAAAUGAAUCAGUGGGGUCCGCUUUGCCGAUCCUUGACGUGAUAAGAUGUUUCUGCGUCUUUGGGUUUGGCACUGCCACCUGCUUCUAACUGUCUCAUUGACAAUGAUGGUGCUCCGGUCACCACCGCUCUUAUCGGUGGGAGGCUUGACCCACAAAAACAAAACCUUGACCUCAAAUCGGGUGAGACUACCCGCUGAACUUAAGCAUAUCAAUAAGCGGAGGAAAAGAAACUAACAAGGAUUCCCCUAGUAACUGCGAGUGAAGCGGGAAAAGCUCAAAUUUAAAAU
rnacentral:misc_RNA from 1 species